rnacentral:rRNA from 1 species
UACGUAGGUGGCAAGCGUUAUCCGGAUUUAUUGGGCGUAAAGCGAGCGCAGGCGGUUGCUUAGGUCUGAUGUGAAAGCCUUCGGCUUAACCGAAGAAGUGCAUCGGAAACCGGGCAACUUGAGUGCAGAAGAGGACAGUGGAACUCCAUGUGUAGCGGUGGAAUGCGUAGAUAUCAGGAGGAACACCGGUGGCGAAGGCGGCCUGCUGGACGGCGACUGACGUUGAGGCUCGAAAGCGUGGGGAGCAAACAGG